rnacentral:rRNA from 1 species
UACGUAGGGCGCAAGCGUUGUCCGGAAUUAUUGGGCGUAAAGAGCUCGUAGGCGGUUUGUCGCGUCUGCUGUGAAAACUCGGGGCUUAACUCCGGGCCUGCAGUGGGUACGGGCAGACUAGAGUGCGGUAGGGGAGACUGGAAUUCCUGGUGUAGCGGUGAAAUGCGCAGAUAUCAGGAGGAACACCGGUGGCGAAGGCGGGUCUCUGGACAGUUCCUGACGCUGAGGCACGAAGGCCAGGGGAGCAAACGGG